CUUAUGUGUGACUGCCAUCUACUGGUCACAUGAUGAUAAUGUGGUGACCUGGAUGGAUGGGAAGCAAACUUACCUCCUACUUCUUCCACUCCCUCCAGCAACAUGUCUUUGGUGAAGUUGGAUAUCUGCCCAGUGAAGGAGGACAGGCUCCCGCCGACCUGACCCAGGGACUGUCCGAGGCCGGAGCCGAUCCCACCCAGCCAGGAUGACAUCUCGGGGGGAGGAUGGAAGCUAAACCAACAAAACAACAACACAGACCUAGCCUAGCCUAGCUAGAGCACGGUUCGCUAUGUCAUUCAACAAGACACAGGUGUGAAUGUCAUUAGCCGCCAAUUAAUCACCUUGACGACGACAAAGGUCCAUUAGAGGCAAUUAAUUGAAGAAUCCAGCAAGAUAAUCCAAAUCAAAACAAGCUAGCUCGGCGACAGACAAGCUAGCUAAACGGCUCACACCGGAAGUGUCAGACUUGUGUGUAAAACCCCCGCCAGGUGAGGAUUUAAAUACAUCGCAAAAAAAGGCUGCUUUUUCUUUGCACUUUCUCGCUCUGUUUAAAGGACGCAGCUGUCAAUAGAAGGCCGCCUCAACUGCAGCCAUGAUCGGCGGAUGGCAGCUUUGACGUGGACACGGCCAGGCGCGUCACGGCGGUGCAUUGUGGGAUACCAAGUACACAUGCGCGGUCGUAGACAUCUUGUACGGGUGUGCGCAUGGAGCGCUGACGAGACGCAGGGCCGCCAUCUUGGAGUGGUGAUCCGCUCCACUCAGUGCAAUACAUUUGUCAGGAGACAUGUAGUGUCAGCGCAUUUCAUUCAUCUUACCUCACUGAAUACCACUCAGUUUCACCCCCUUAUUUUGUCAUAUAUGUAGCAAUGAUAAAGAACACAUGUUUUGUUAUUCAUAUUUUGCAGUACAUAAAAGCAUUGUAUCAACUACAGAAAAUACCUACAAGGAUUAUUCAUAAACUUAGAACACUAACAUAUUAAUUUAUUAUCUCUGCACUAUUGAAACUUCAGGAGCUAGUAAAGCUACGGACAUUGUGUGUCAUGUUCAGAGCUAGAAGUAAAACAUUACCAGCCAUUUUACAAAAAUGAUUUGUCAUCACUUCUGAGAAUACAGAGCAUAGAAGAAAAGGUUAUUUCAAACAUCAAUAUUCAAGGACAACUUUAAAACAAAUGUGUACAUAAGUGGUGGGGGUAAUAUUGUGGGAUUCUCUUUACAGUGAGAUCAAUCAAUCAAUGUUUACUUAUAUAGCCCUAAAUCACUAGUGUCUCAAAGGGCUGCACAAACCACCACGACAUCCUCGGUAGGCCCACAUAAGGGCAAGGAAAACUCACACCCAGUGGGACGUCGGUGACAAUGAUGACUAUGAGAACCUUGGAGAGGAGGAAAGCAAUGGAUGUCGAGCGGGUCUAACAUGAUACUGUGAAAGUUCAAUCCAUAAUGGAUCCAACACAGUCGCGAGAGUCCAGUUCAAAGCGGAGCCAGCAGGAAACCAUCCCAAGCGGAGGCGGAUCAGCAGCACAGAGAUGUCCCCAGCCGGUACACAGGCAAGCAGUACAUGGCCACCGGAUCGGACCGGACCCCCUCCACAAGGGAGAGUGGGACAUAGAAGAAAAAGAAAAGAAACGGCAGCUCAACUGGUCUAAAAAGGGAGUCUAUUUAAAGGCUAGAGUAUACAAAUGAGUUUUAAGAGAGUUGUGAGGACGGCGGAAAAGAUCAUCAGGACUCCUCUUCCUCCUAUCCAGGAGACCGCAAAAAGCCGCUGCCUGACCAGGGCUCAGAAAAUCUGCAAAGACUCCUCCCACGUCCAUCAAGGACAGUUUUCACUGCUGGACUCUAGAAAGAGGUUCCACAGCCUUCGAAGCAGAAUUUACAGGUUCUGUAACAGCUUCUUCCCUCAGGCCGUAAGACUCUUGAACGCAUCACAAUUAAAUUAUCCCCUCAACUCCCCCCAAAAUGGAUUAACUCGCUGGAAUAAAAAAGACAUUAUAACAUACAUCCAUAAAUGUAGACGCAUGUGAAAAAGUACAAUAUAUUUAUAUGUACAGUAAUAUAUUUAUUUAUAUAUAUUUAUUUAAUUAUAUAUGCACCUUAUUGCUUUUUUUAUCCUGCACUACCAUGAGUUUAUGUAACAAAAUAUCGUUCUUAUCUGUGCUGUAAAGUUCAAAUUUGAAAGACAAUAAAAAGGAAGUCAAGUCUAAGUCUAAGUCUAUGAAUACAUUAGAUAUCUAUAUAUAUUAUAGACUGUAUCUGUGUUGCUGCAGCAGAGAGUUUAUUCUGUCUUGACACUCUGUAUUGAUAUUUUCUAUUACAUUCUUCCCUUUAAUGAUCAUGUUUACACUGAUUGUUUUAUAUGUAUUUUGUAUGUAUGUCGCCUUGGAUAAAAGUGUCUGCCAAAUACUUCAACAUAAACAUAUAUAAACACAUGAAAGUCUUUAUAUCAGCUAAAACCACCAAUCUGAUUCACUGGAUUCAAAAUAAAACCAAAUCCUGUCCAACCCAACAAUGUUAGUAUUUGAAUAUUGUUACUUGAAUUCAAUCCAACCCAAUCCACUUUAUUUGUAUAGCACAUUUAAACAACAUAAAUGUUUCCAAAGUGCUGCACAACAAUAUUAAAAAACAAUAUUCAAAUAUUAUCCUUACCUCCACCAAUGACUGAAUAAAAAAUAAAACCAAUAUAAAAAGAACAUAAAAAUAAAUAUGAUUAAAAACGAUUUUAAAGGGUAAAACCAAUCCAAACAAUAAAUAGAGAACACAGAGGACCACACAACUCACGUAGUGUUAAAGACUUAUUCCUGGUUACAUUGAUUGAUUGAUUGAUUGAAACUUUUAUUAGUAGAUAGCACAGUACAGUACAUAUUCCCUACAAUUGACCACUAGAUUGUAACACCACAAUAAGUUUUUAAACUUGUUUAAGUCGGGGUCCAUGUUAUUAUACUGUUAAGAAAGUAUUGUUUUAUACUUUGCCUAAAACGAGAAUUCAUCAUAAUCAGCUGCGGAUUUUUUUAUGAAUUUUGUUUUAGGUGGGGCUGAAGUUUGGAAACCAAACCCCUGUAUGGGCGUCAU